AGUUUGAUCCUGGCUCAGGAUGAACGCUAGCUACAGGCUUAACACAUGCAAGUCGAGGGGAAACGAUAGAGAAAGCUUGCUUUUUCUAGGCGUCGACCGGCGCACGGGUGAGUAACGCGUAUCCAACCUGCCCAUCACUUGGGGAUAACCUUGCGAAAGUAAGACUAAUACCCAAUGAUAUCUCUAGAAGACAUCUGAAAGAGAUUAAAGAUUUAUCGGUGAUGGAUGGGGAUGCGUCUGAUUAGCUUGUUGGCGGGGUAACGGCCCACCAAGGCGACGAUCAGUAGGGGUUCUGAGAGGAAGGUCCCCCACAUUGGAACUGAGACACGGUCCAAACUCCUACGGGAGGCAGCAGUGAGGAAUAUUGGUCAAUGGGCGAGAGCCUGAACCAGCCAAGUAGCGUGCAGGAAGACGGCCCUAUGGGUUGUAAACUGCUUUUAUAAGGGAAUAAAGUGGGAGUCGUGACUCCUUUUGCAUGUACCUUAUGAAUAAGGACCGGCUAAUUCCGUGCCAGCAGCCGAGGUAAUACGGAAGGUCCGGGCGUUAUCCGGAUUUAUUGGGUUUAAAGGGAGCGUAGGCCGGAGAUUAAGCGUGUUGUGAAAUGUAGACGCUCAACGUCUGCACUGCAGCGCGAACUGGUUUCCUUGAGUACGCACAAAGUGGGCGGAAUUCGUGGUGUAGCGGUGAAAUGCUUAGAUAUCACGAAGAACUCCGAUUGCGAAGGCAGCUCACUGGAGCGCAACUGACGCUGAAGCUCGAAAGUGCGGGUAUCGAACAGGAUUAGAUACCCUGGUAGUCCGCACGGUAAACGAUGGAUGCCCGCUGUUGGUCUGAAUAGGUCAGCGGCCAAGCGAAAGCAUUAAGCAUCCCACCUGGGGAGUACGCCGGCAACGGUGAAACUCAAAGGAAUUGACGGAAGGGCAUU
rnacentral:rRNA from 1 species